CAGCAGUGGCAACGUUAGGUUCUGUGGAACACUGACCAUCUCUGGAACAGAGAAGAACAAACCAUAUCAGACACGGAAAUGCGACAGAAGUGUUCAGAGAAACAUUCCUCCCCCUUAAGUCCCAUGGAGAUCAGAGCUGCUAAGAGCACCUGAUGAAGUGACCAAAGGAAUUAUGCGACUGACCCAUUCUUUGUAUUCCAGAAUUCAUCUUCUGAUCCAGUAGGCAAAGCACACAGAAAGCAAAUUUGCCCAAAAUAGCUUUCCUUGGAGAGAGAGAGGGAGAUUUUUAUCCUGUCUUUGAGGCAAGAUUUUGCAGUUAUUCUUGGUUUCUGCUCCACUGCAUUUUCCGCAGAGGAGGAGGAAGGGCUGAGCAAUGUUAUGUUCUGCAUGGAUGCAUGCACACAAUCACAUACAUACUCAUGUUUUGCUUGUGUACUGUUUCUUUCUAUUUCACUGUUUUACUGCUUUCUGUAGCCUUUUAAAAUAUAUGAUACACAGCUGUCAAAACAGCAGCUCAUCUCCUUCCACAGGCAAAUGGCAGAGGGCAGAGUUAAAAAGCUAAACCAAACAGCAUCAAAUUCAUGCUCAGUAUUCCACUCACCUUGUCCUUCAUGCAAAGCUUUGCUGAAUGGCUUCAGCUGUUUUUCAUACAUGAUGGCAGUCUGGGUGUAAUGAUGUCUUAAAGAGGUCCACGUUUGUUCUAACCUGGUGACCUGUUCAGAUGAAAUGAGAGGAAUAUACACAUUUCUUACUCUAGUAAGUCACAGGAAAAACAUGCUGCUACUGCAUAAAUUACUUUAAAUGAUCCAACUAACAAUUCUACUUUUUGGAAUGUAAAGAGAAAAUUGAUGGGUUUUUUGUUUGUAUGUUUUUUUACCUGUGGCAUUUCCAGUGCUUUCAUAAUGGCAGAAAAUGCAUACAAAUCCCCCAGUGAGUCCUUCAGCUCCACUGCAACUUGGAUGAUCUUGUUUAAUGUUGCAGCUCUGUCUUCCAGGUUUCCUGUGCAACCUAAGAUAUCCACAGCUAUUCCUAUUGCCAUGGUAUUGUGCCUGCAAGUGAAACAAUUUAUAUUAGUGGUUACUAAUUAUUAAUACAUUAUGAUGUACAUAAGUUCAGAGAAGAUCAACUCAGUUAUAUUUCAGCAUCUGCUUAUCAAGAGCUGCAAUACCAUUAUAUAGAAUAAAUGUCUUUUUGAGUUUA